rnacentral:rRNA from 1 species
UGGGAAUAUUGGACAAUGGGCGAAAGCCUGAUCCAGCCAUGCCGCGUGUGUGAAGAAGGUCUUCGGAUUGUAAAGCACUUUAAGUUGGGAGGAAGGGCAGUAAGCGAAUACCUUGCUGUUUUGACGUUACCGACAGAAUAAGCACCGGCUAACUCUGUGCCAGCAGCCGCGGUAAUACAGAGGGUGCAAGCGUUAAUCGGAAUUACUGGGCGUAAAGCGCGCGUAGGUGGUUCGUUAAGUUGAAUGUGAAAGCCCCGGGCUCAACCUGGGAACUGCAUCCAAAACUGGCGAGCUAGAGUAGGGCAGAGGGUGGUGGAAUUUCCUGUGUAGCGGUGAAAUGCGUAGAUAUAGGAAGGAACACCAGUGGCGAAGGCGACCACCUGGGCUCAUACUGACACUGAGGUGCGAAAGCGUGGGGAGCAAACAGG